rnacentral:tRNA from 1 species
CCGCCAUUAGCUCAUCGGGAUAGAGCGCCAGCCUUCGAAUCUGGCUGCGCUGGGUUCGAGUCCUCGAUGGCGGUUCA